rnacentral:lncRNA from 1 species
AUGGAGAAAAAGAAGGGUUUGCCAGCCUACUCAAUAUUUUCUAGGAUGACUAACAAAUUCCAAUUUGCAGAACUUCCUGGAAUGUUCCAUAUUCCAGGAAAACUGAGUCCUUCACAAACAGGGCAUCCGAUCGCCCUAGUACAUGGAGUGGCCGAAGCCAAGUCAUCUGAAGGAGAAGAGGACUUCCAUCAAGAUGAAUUACUAUUUUGGGAAGAAAAUAUCUAAGCACCUAAGAACAACAGUGUAUGCAAAAUAACACUGGUUGAUCUGCGACUGGGUUCUAGAAAUCCACGGAAUAUGGCAAACCAUUUCGCCAGGCCAAAAGUAUUUGUUAUAUUUCUCAUAGAUGCUGAUUAAGAAGACAUCAUUAAUGGAAAGACACAUUGAAGAGGAAUGAAGACAACGGUGGUUGAAAACAAGUUGUCCUCUGCCUGUAAUUCCAUUAUACCAUUAGCUGCAGAAUGCCAUAGCAUGCAGAGAUUUGGGGGACAGCCAGGAACAGAAGUAUGCAACAAUUGCCAGACAAACCUCAUCUAAAAAUUCACCUUCUCUCUUCUAAAGUGCAAACGCUUUAGCUUUCAAGGACAGCUGCACGUCUGUUUCAAUUUUCACAGUUCUUUUUGGGUUUAUAGCGCUCAGAAAAGGGAAAAAUAACAGAAGAUGGAAAGAGCCAAUGAGGGCAUGUGUGAGCUGCAGAAAUAACAGAUGUCUUGAAAAGAUAAAUGAUAAUCUGGGAGAAAACUGACAAGGUACUCAAAUGCAAGUCCAUAGUCACUUGUUUAUUCUCUCUGGCUACACAACCCAAUUAUCGCCAGAAUCAAGAAUGGAAAAUUUCUCAUGGUGUAUUUAAUAAUACGAGUUCAUGCAUAUUUAGUGUUAACACAGCCAUGUUUAUACUUCUAAUGAACUGCUCAAAGGUGGUACACUAAAAUAAGAAGUUGUGCCAAAUCUUUCACAGUGAGCAUUGGGCACCUUGCUACAGGUUUGCCAUCAUCUACUACCCUGUGUUUUAUAAUGUCUCAAUUUUCUGGCCUUUUUGUCUUAUGCAAAUGAUGCCAAAAUUUAGUUUGUUCUGAGAUUAGAGUAUCAUAUGAUCCCGGGAUAUGCCUGAAUUAAUAAACACAAAUGGAAAUGUUGAAGCUUCA